rnacentral:misc_RNA from 1 species
UUUAACAUCUAGGAAAUUUCUACCAUUGAAAAAAAAAAUUCAAAAUAUUAGAUAACCAGUGUAUUUGAAGUUUAUACUAUCAAGUGGUUGUGCUUUUUUUAUCGACAAAUUGCUGCAUUUCUCCAAUGACCAACAAAUGCAGAAUCUACAAUGCUAAGCCUUUCCAUGCCCUUGUCAUCUUUGUUCGCGCAUUAUGAUUGGAUGCCUUGCAAAACAAAUUACAUGCUUGGUUAGGGUUGAAAAAUGACAAAUGACGUAACUUACUGAUAUGUAACAAGACGCAUAGGAGCGUAUCCCGUCAGUUACAGAGAGAGCACAGUUACAAACGAACAAAUUGAGAAACUUAUCAAAAUUAAUCAUUUAGCUGCAUGUGUACAAUAAUAAUUGAAAAAAUGAACCAAUGUUGUUGGUUAUAAUGGAGUUUCAUAUGAUAAUGCCUAACUUCUAUUAUAGGAUAGAAGGAUUAGUUCUCUGCAACAGAUUGUUAUUUUACUGCAGCAAGAGUGACAAAUUUGUGUUUGAUUUAAAGCUUUCAACAAGGCGAAAGAGAUGUUAAUCUUAUAGCUUAAAUCAGUAAAAACAAGACACAUUUGCAGAUUAUAAACCCACAGAACAUUGUUACUUUUACAUCUUCAAUAUUUCAUAUGGUGUCCUAUUCAAGCAGACAUUGCAAAUAAAUGUAUGUGAAAGUAUCCAGGAUGAUGCACCUUGAAGAGAGUUCUCAAAGUCUUGCAAUUGUGAGAUAAAACCCGAGUUAGGAGCAGCCUGAGGUCGUCUACUCUUCACAUGUCCAAGAGCUUGGGAUAGGCUCAUUCCAUACUUUCUCAUCAGAUAACCAACAACAAUUGUCACGCUUCUGGAUCUUCCAACAAAGCAAUGAACCAAAACACCACCACCCUGUCUUUUAGCUUCAUCAAUAAAACUGAAACACUCAUCAAAGUAUUGUCUCAAAUUUGUGUCUUCUUUAUCCGUAACUCCAAUCACUUUAUAUACAAAAUCAUUUCGAUAAGCAGGAGCCAAAGAAUUAGCUACUGUUAAGAUGUGUGUAAUAUUCUUGCUUUUUAGUACAUCCUUAUUAUUAGCAGCACCAAAAGAACCCAAGAAGAGGCCCUGAAAAUUAUUAUAAAAAAAUUACAAAAAAGGAGCAAAAUCCAGGCUACUGCAACAAAGGAAGCUUAAAACAGGACAUCAUUGAAUAAAGCGCGAAUUGCAUAUUGAAUGAUCAAACAUCCAAGCAUAAUUACCUCUUCAAUUUGACAUGGGAGGUUGUCCUCCUUAAGGCAUCUUGUCACAUUUAUAACUCGCCAAAGUGCAGCUAUUUGAUUCUUAAUUGAAUCAUCAAUUUUAUCCAUCGCUGGUAAGUGGUAAGAGCAAACUUCUCAAUUUGCAUUUAAUAUUUCUACUUCAAGAAAGGCAUAAGACUAAUAAGAAUUUAAGAAUUAAAUCCUUGUCUUACUAAUAUUUCUCCAUGCCAACUAACACAGGGAAGGAAUAAAUACUAUAGAUUUUGAAAGGAUCACGCAAGAAAAAAAAAAUAAAGAUAACAACAUGAGUACAAUGUCACAGGCAACAACCAAAUUAAAUCUCACUCAACAGAACAACCAUUUGAAGAAAAUAUUAUCAUCUGUGCAAUUAAGGGGGGAAAAUAACUUGGGAAAUUUUACGUUGUAUGCAUCUGUCUCCAUUAAAGGAACAAACCAUCUCAAAUAUUUCUAAAGAACUUGGCAGACCAACUCAAGAGCAUUUUGAAUUAUGCCACACAAAAUUAGCAUAUGAGUAAACAUUGUAAGGUGGAAAAUCUAAAUUGGGUAAAAACAUACUCAUAUAGAACUAUCAAGAAAGUAUAAAUUUUGGUCAUAAAUCUAACAAAACAAGAACUUUAAACUCUGUUACCGAAUAUAAGCGCUUCAAAAAAAGAAAUUUGCAUCUGGGCGUCCCAAAUUUCCAGAAUAAAGCGAUAUGGCACCCCAAAGAAAAGAGGAAAAAAGAAGGAAAAAAAAAAAUAGAAACGACGAAUCAAAUGAUUCAUUAACAAAUACAUUGUCCAUUUUCUCCGAUCAGAUUUGAAAGCUAAAAUAUUUACGUUACCUUCAGAGCUCUGUUGAAGAGAAUAAUGACGGGAAAAUAUUGUUGGCGGAUCUUGAUUCUGAAUUAUAUUUUUAUCAUCCAAUUGCGGCAAUU